AACCGCCUUCUCUCUCUUAUCUCGAUCUCAAAGCCAAGACGAAACCUUUCCAAGGCGUUCGUAUCCGAUCUUGACCGCUUCUCGCCGGCGAUCUCGAUUCCGGCAGAGUUGAAGUUUUUAGAAGAAGGGACUCUCCUAAAUACUCUAAAAGAGAAUCUGAGUAUUAUAGGAAUGGGUUCUCUGGUGUUGAUCUGAGCCAUGGCGGUGAUGUUGGUGUGAGGUGUAGGGAUGAUGUUCGCAAUUCAAGAAGGUCGGUUGAGAAUGGAAGAGAGCCGCAUCGGGAAGGGGCGGUUGAGUUGCUUCCGGAGAAGAAGAGGAAGUUUUCUCCCAUUAUAUGGGAUAAAGAAGAGAAGAAAGCGAGGGCAUUGACAAGGUGUGGAGCUGUUCCAGGCUCGGCCGUUCCUGUGUCAUCAUCUCGGAAGAGAUCAUCUUCUGAGGUUCGCGAUAUUGUCUCCGACGGGGGUGUUUCAAAGAUUCCUGCUUCGGAUGUUCAGCCUGAAGGGGUUCAGUUACUCCCUGGGAAGAGGAAGUCUCCUGUUACAGGUGACAGA